UACGUAGGUCUCAAGCGUUAUCCGGAUUUACUGGGCGUAAAGAAUCUGUAGUCGGAUUUGUAAGUCCGCUUUCAAAUCCCACGACUCAAUCGUGGAAAGGGAGUGGAUACUGCACAUCUAGAACUCGUGAGGGGUUAGUGGAAUUUCCGGUGGAGCGGUGAAAUGCGUUGAUAUCGGAAAGAACGCCGAAAGCGAAAGCAGCUAACUAUCACAUGUUGACGAUGAGAGAUGAAAGUUUGGGUAGCAAACG
rnacentral:rRNA from 1 species